ACGCUGGCGGCGUGCUUAACACAUGCAAGUCGAACGAGAGCGUAGAGAAAGCUUGCUUUUUCUACAAUCUAGUGGCAAACGGGUGAGUAACGCGUAAACAACCUGCCCUACGGAUGGGGACAACAGCUGGAAACGGCUGCUAAUACCGAAUACGUUCCGAAAGUCGCAUGACUAUCGGAAGAAAGGAUGGCCUCUAUUUAUAAGCUAUCGCCGGAGGAGGGGUUUGCGUCUGAUUAGCUAGUUGGAGGGGUAACGGCCCACCAAGGCGACGAUCAGUAGCCAGUCUGAGAGGAUGAACGGCCACAUUGGAACUGAGACACGGUCCAGACUCCUACGGGAGGCAGCAGUGGGGAAUCUUCCGCAAUGGGCGAAAGCCUGACGGAGCAACGCCGCGUGAGUGAAGACGGCCUUCGGGUUGUAAAGCUCUGUUAUACGGGACGAAUAGUCUUGUGGUUAAUACCCAUAAGAAGUGACGGUACCGUAAGAGAAAGCCACGGCUAACUACGUGCCAGCAGCCGCGGUAAUACGUAGGUGGCAAGCGUUGUCCGGAAUUAUUGGGCGUAAAGGGCGCGCAGGCGGCUUCUUAAGUCUGUCUUAAAAGUGCGGGGCUUAACCCCGUGAUGGGAUGGAAACUGGGAAGCUCAGAGUAUCGGAGAGGAAAGCGGAAUUCCUAGUGUAGCGGUGAAAUGCGUAGAUAUUAGGAGGAACACCAGUGGCGAAAGCGGCUUUCUGGACGAAAACUGACGCUGAGGCGCGAAAGCCAGGGGAGCGAACGGGAUUAGAUACCCCGGUAGUCCUGGCCGUAAACGAUGGGUACUAGGUGUAGGAGGUAUCGACCCCUUCUGUGCCGGAGUUAACGCAAUAAGUACCCCGCCUGGGGAGUACGGCCGCAAGGUUGAAACUCAAAGGGAAUUGACGGGGGCCCGCACAAGCGG
rnacentral:rRNA from 1 species